rnacentral:misc_RNA from 1 species
GAUGAAGAACGCAGCGAAAUGCGAUAAGUAGUGUGAAUUGCAGAAUUCAGUGAAUCAUCGAAUCUUUGAACGCACAUUGCGCCCUUUGGUAUUCCUUAGGGCAUGCCUGUUCGAGCGUCAUUUGAAACCUCAAGCUCAGCUUGGUGUUGGGUGUCUGUCCCCGCCUCACCGCGGGGACUCGCCUCAAAAUCAUUGGCGGCCGGUACGUUGGCUUCGAGCGCGGCAGAAACGCGAACUCGAGGCCCGGCGGAUCGGCGACCAGAAGUCACUUCUUCACAGUUUGACCUCGGAUCAGGUAGGGAUACCCGCUGAACUUAAGCAUAUCAAUAAGCGGAGG